rnacentral:rRNA from 1 species
UACGGAGGGAGCUAGCGUUGUUCGGAAUUACUGGGCGUAAAGCGCGCGUAGGCGGCUUUGUAAGUUAGAGGUGAAAGCCCGGGGCUCAACCCCGGAAUAGCCUUUAAGACUGCAUCGCUUGAAUCCGGGAGAGGUGAGUGGAAUUCCGAGUGUAGAGGUGAAAUUCGUAGAUAUUCGGAAGAACACCAGUGGCGAAGGCGGCUCACUGGACCGGUAUUGACGCUGAGGUGCGAAAGCGUGGGGAGCAAACAGG